rnacentral:rRNA from 1 species
UACGUAGGGGGCUAGCGUUGUCCGGAAUCAUUGGGCGUAAAGCGCGUGUAGGCGGUCCGGUAAGUCCGCUGUGAAAGUCCAGGGCUCAACCCUGGAAAGCCGGUGGAUACUGUCGGGCUAGAGUCCGGAAGAGGCGAGUGGAAUUCCUGGUGUAGCGGUGGAAUGCGUAGAUAUUGGGAGGAACACCAGUGGCGAAGGCGGCUCACUGGACCGGUUCUGACGCUGAGGCGCGAAAGCGUGGGGAGCAAACGGG